rnacentral:tRNA from 1 species
CGGUGUAUGGCUGACGGGUAAGCAACUGCCUCUUAAGCAGCGACAAGCUGGUUCGAAUCCAGCUACACCGA